rnacentral:rRNA from 1 species
AGUGAACGCUGGCGGUAGGCCUAACACAUGCGAGUCGAACGGCAGCACAGUAAGAGCUUGCUCUUACGGGUGGCGAGUGGCGGACGGGUGAGGAAUACAUCGGAAUCUACUUUUUCGUGGGGGAUAACGUAGGGAAACUUACGCUAAUACCGCAUACGACCUACGGGUGAAAGCAGGGGAUCUUCGGACCUUGCGCGAUUGAAUGAGCCGAUGUCGGAUUAGCUAGUUGGCGGGGUAAAGGCCCACCAAGGCGACGAUCCGUAGCUGGUCUGAGAGGAUGAUCAGCCACACUGGAACCGAGACACGGUCCAGACUCCUACGGGAGGCAGCAGCGGGGAAUAUUGGACAAUGGGCGCAAGCCUGAUCCAGCCAUACCGCGUGGGUGAAGAAGGCCUUCGGGUUGUAAAGCCCUUUUGUUGGGAAAGAAAAGCAGCAGGUUAAUACCCCGCUGUUCUGACGGUACCCAAAGAAUAAGCACCGGCUAACUUCGUG